rfam:Gossypium raimondii chromosome 10, whole genome shotgun sequence.
AGGUAACAUGGUGAGGGCACCUUCUCAAUAAGUUCUUAUACCUCUCCCAUGCAUCAUAUAAGGUUUCUAACUCGAUUUAAACGAAGGAAGAGAUAUCAUUCCUCAACUU